UACGUCCACAUCACGUUUUGAAAUAUCCGUUCUCGUACGAUCACCGAAGUUAAGCAACGUCGAGCUUGGUCAGUACCUAGAUGGGUGACUGUUUGGGAAUAAUAGGUGAUGUAAG